rnacentral:lncRNA from 1 species
CUUGAAUUUGUGAUUCUCCUACCUCAGCCUCCCAGAGUGCUGGGAUUAUAAACCUGUGCCUCUUGGUCCAGUUUCUUUUUUAAAAUGCUGGAAAGGAUCCAGGGAAGCUGCAUCAUUUUUAGAUAGGAGAUGACAUCACUUCCCAACUUGCUUAGGAGGCCUAAAGUCUUGCUCUAUUCUUGGUCUAGCACCUCACUUUCCAUUCUCUUUACAACCUAUUGUCCUUUUUUGUACUUAGCCUAGCAGGACCUGGGGGGCCCAGCUUGAAAAAGGAUGUUAGCAUCCCCCUCCCUUCUGCCGACCUACCUCCUCUUGUAGCAACCUGGCGCCCCCUCGACAACUCAUGGAGGACUUCUUGCAGGGAGGUAACAUUGACAGGCUCUUCAGUGGAGAAACCUGACAGAUGCCACCUUAACCCAGUAAUCAAAGCUAACAGCCCAAGUACAUGGAUGACACCUGCUGCCCCCAAUAUGAUAUGGUUCAUUGAGAAGAACAUAGCAACAUUUGUGUGAUGUUUCUACCAAAAAUACAUUAUUGCAUCUUAUGAAGACGCAAGAAACAAACCCAGACUGAGUGGCAUCCUACAAAAUAACUGGUCUCUACUCUUUUAAAGAGUCAAUAUUAUGAAAGACAAAGGCGAAGAAGCUGUUCUAAUUGAAGUAGAAUAGAGACGUGGCAAGUGAGUGCAUUGAUUAAUGCGAGAUCUUCUUUUGUUAUAAAGAGCAUCACUGGGACUACUGUCGAAGAUUAAAGUGUUGUAUCAAUGUUAAUUUCCCAAUCUUGAGAAUUUUACUGUAGUUACAUGACAAUGGUUUUAGGAAAUAAAUGUUGAAAUAUUGUAGGGUAAAGGAGCAUUAUGUGCGAAAAGUAUUCUCAAACAGUAAUGAGAAAAAAUGUGUUAGAGGGAGAAAUAAAGAAAAUGCAGUAAAGUGUUAACAUUUUAGGAAUCUGGGUGAAAAAUAUACAAGAAUUCUUUGUAUUAUUCACCCAACUUAUAGUUAUGUAAGUCUUA